UCUGCCGUACAAUUUAUGAUGUGAGCCAGUUUCCAAAUUUUAGGCUCUGCACUGCUUUUUAAAAACUGUCCUGUUUCUGCCCCCGCUUCCUUGAGAGACAUCAACAGGUGAUUCUGAUUAAUCUGUGGUUGAUCAAGGACGGGAGUCAGAGAGGCCUGCCAAUACAUCACAGCCAGAUGCCCAUGUGUCAGGUGUGACGUCAAGGAGAAGAAGAGGUAUCUCGGCAAUAGCUAACUGGUCUUCUCAACAUCAGACCUUUUUGGAGAGAAUGCAGCAGCAGCAAAAUAUAUGGCUGGAGGCUCAGAUAGUGCAGAGCCAGGUGAGGGAGGAGUGGCUCAUCUCUUUGAUUGUGGAGUCCAAUGCACGUACCACAGAACAUGUGGUGUCUGCUGCUUGAAUGCUUCCGAAGCAUCCAGCCGCCACCACCACCGCCCCAGCCAAUGUUUGUCCCACCUCCCUAUCAAGGAUACCACACACCUCCCCAAAACUACCAUAUGCAUGCCAAUCCUGCCUCAAGCACAGCCUUCUUUGACCAACCAGCCGAUGAAGACUAAACUAAAUACUUCCAAGACUUAGUUCCAAGACGUAGUUCCUAACAUGUUGUUAACUCAGUUCAGUUUAGGGGCUAAUAGUUGGCAGUUUAUCUAUGGCUCUGAAGUCCAUGAGCAAGUCCCUAAAAGUGUAUUUCUGUUGAACUAGCAACUGUUAUUUCUGUAUGGGAAAUGAGGAGGCCUAUCUAUGGCCCUGUUUGGAUAAAAGUUUGUUUACUUAUUCUGAAAAGACAGCAGAAUCCAGAUUAGUAAAAAAAAAAAAUAAUGCUUUUCUGUAUUAACAAAACAUGUACAGUUUAAAAACAUGUACAGUUAAACUGUAACAUACUUUUUUAUUUUUAAACAAUGUUUAUUUCUGUUGGAACUUGCAGCUGUUUGUUCUGUUUUGGAAAGGAAAAGGCCUACACCAGGGCUCCCCAACACUGUUCCUGGAGAACUACCCUCCUGUAGGUUUUCGCUCCAACCCCAGUUGUAUCUAACCUAAUUAUUUGAAUCAGGUGUGCUAGAUCAGAGUUGGAGUGAAAACCAACAGGAUGGUAGCGCUCCAGGAACAGGAUUGGAGAGCCUUGGCCUAUUUAUAUGGCUCUGUUUAAACUUGAUAAAGCAAUGUUGUUUACUUAUUUAAAAAAGCAAAAUUAAUUAAUUAAAAAGAAACCUUUUUAGUUAAUUAAAGUAAAUGUUGCAGUCAAAAUAGCUGUGCUUGAUAACAUUUGUGCAACUUGAUAACAUUUGCAUCUUUAAAACAAAAUUCUAAACAAAUGUA